UUUUGGAUCAAUUUUUAUCGUUUAAUGGUUUGGUUGAGUUUCCUGUAUCAUUUUCCAAUUUUUUUAUAAAAUUAAAGACAAAUGAAUGUCAUAUUUUUAUACGUCGCAUGAGACACAAGACACAGGUGACGAAACUUGCCAUGACCAAACUACAAAAUGUAACGAUACAGAGUCAGAGCAUGGGUCCCAUGUUACCACUCGGAAUGAAGAUGGAUUUUCCGGCACCAUGGUUCCCUUUUAUCCCUCCCAACUUGAUCAUGCCGCCCUUCAAUGGUUUUACCCCAGGAGAAACUAGCUAUGCCGGUGGUAAUCGAAAUAUUGAACCUGCUGCCAUCAAGGGAUUCAACAAUCUGUUGAAUUAACCACACUCGUCAAGAUCUAUGUGAGCUAGUGGUGUUUUUAUACUUUGGACGUCUGGUUCUCAAGUUCGUUUAUUCUAUGUGUAUGUUUAUUGUCUAGUAGUUUAAAGUUGUUCUCCCACGUUUAUAAGACUGUGGCGUUCUCUUUUGUUCGUCCGUCACAGUGUAUUUAUGUUGUGAUAGUUCAAUGUAAA